GAGCCAGUCUUUUCGCGGCUCAUGCAAGUGCUCCAAUUCCGGACUCUCGCUUUGCUUCCGACCUCCGUCCCUUUCGCGAGCCACGUGUGCGUUGCUUGCCUUGUUUUGCUUCCUAUCCGCCUCGCCUCUCUUCUCUCUUAAUGAAACGCGCCCAUCUUCAAACUUUGCACCCUACGUACAACUUAACCCAGAGAUUCCGCCGAUCGCAGUCGGGUUAGGCUGCUGCUCGCCAGCGCUCCUCGGGCGUGGUUUCCUUGCGCGCCCCCUCCCACCGGGUAGAGACAGGCGGCAGCGGCGGCUGCUAGCGGUGUUUGAAUGGUGCGGUGUGCCUGGCGGGAAGGCGGUGCAAGCGGGAGCUGCAGCUGCUUGCAAUCUCGUUUCCUCUUUGGCCUACUCUUUCCAGCCGCGUCGACUGGUGGAGAAGCAGCGCUGCUCGGGUAGAGGAAAGACGGGAAGUGCUGAGCAAUGAUAGAGUCAGCGAUGGUGCAAAAUUGGAAAAUAUUCAGUGUUGACAUUCUGCCAGCCUUUGGAUGGACACUGUGUCAAGUGGCACAGGAGGACUUCUCUGCUAGGACUCUCUAAGAAUAGUAACUGCAAAAGUAGCAUUACAGAAGAAAUGGAGCAUAUUUACCAGUGAAGUACUAAUAAAAUCCCCAAGGUGCCUUACUUGGAGGUCUGCAAGAAAUGCCUUGUUGUGGAAGAAAAGCAUUGAAUGACCCCAUAGCCCUUGCUGGAGUGCGGCAGUCAAGUGACCACAUACAGGUUUUGCUUGAUUCUUUCACCAAGACUUUGAAGUUCUAUCAGUAGAGAAUUCUGGAUUAGAUCUAAUGUUAGUCCUACUUAGAAUAAACCCAGUGAAACAAAUGGGACUUAAAUUAGAGUUAAUGUUGCAUACAACACACUAUUUCUAAUCUACCUAACUUUUGUAGGCACUGUACAUAAAUUAAAAAAUCAUUGCAGCCCCUGUCCACAAGCUUACUGUCUAAUAGACACAAUGCAGAUGGGAUAGAGAAAAUACAGGAGCAAUGAAUAAACAAAUCCAGGCAAUAAAUUCUUCAUACUUGUAUGGAUGUGCCAUGGCCAGAUGGCAUGUCCCACUGAGAAAACUAGUUAUGGGAGUGGAAGUUAAGAACCAGUGUGGUGUGGUAGUUGGGAUGUGGAACUGGGACCCCAGAGGCCUGGGUUUUACACCUUACUUGGGUACAGAGCUCACUGAGUCACUUUGGGGCACUCACUGACUCUCCAUGGGAUAUAAAUGUCACAGAUUUGAACUAGAUAGAACUACCUGCUGAGCCAGUGGAAUGGGCACUGCUGUUUCAUCUCUUUUUUAGCUGCAUGUCCUCAUUCUGCGUUGUAUCAGCAGCAUAACUGCAAGCUAGUACAGGGGUGGGAGGGAUGUAGACUAUUGUGAAACUGAAAUGCAGAAAAACUAGUCCCCUACCCCACCCUGAGAAGUGAGGCGCUCCAAGCAUCCCCAAGAAACAAAUAUCAGCCAUGCUGAUUUUACUUUCAUUGAUCAAAAUGCAUUGUGCUGUCUUCCUUAUGUCAUCCUGUAGCAAUGAAGUUGGUUAGGACAUGGUGGUGUUUACUGGAAAAUUAGAAGCUUCUUAAUACUGGGCUUUAAGUUGAGAAUCAGGAAUGGGUUUCAGACUGAACCUGUGGAUGAACACAGACUAUUAUUGAGCAAGUGGUAACUUGCCAUGGUGUGCUUGUAACAGUCGGGUGGGUGAUUGUAUCAUCCUACCACGUGAUAUGGAGGAUUUCCCCACAAUGGCCAGUGAGUACUAAGAUAGCUUGUUAACCAGGAUUUUUCUUUGUGCUCAUUGAUUGGAUUCUGUAUUCAUCUGUGCCACACUUCUUUUGCAUGGAUAAAGUGGCCCACAAAAGCAUGUAUGACAACCAGUUUGCUGGUCUUUAGGAUGCUAUGCGAUUUUUUGAUCGCUUGUUUGUUUAUUGCAACUGAAUGAUGUGGCUGAAAAAAGUGUAUAAUUUUGUGCAGGGAAAAAGGGAUUUCCUGCCUAGUACACUUGUUAAUGAGAAGUAGACUGUACAGUGCCCUUUCCCCUGCUAUGUAGAAUCAGUGGGGGAUUUAGUAAAAUCUGGUUUACAACAUUAGUGAAGGGCUACAGAUGCCUAGCUGUCUCUAUAGACAGAGGAAGUCAGCAUGCCAGGAAUUCUAAAAGUGAAGUGGCUGCCCCCCCUCAUUCGCCUGCAUGCAGAGCCCCUUUAAUCUAGGGAUUGAGUUUCAUAAUUCAAACUAAUCAAGGUUCUUUUUUAAUAUGUACUGGGAAAAACCCAAAGUGCGUAAGACGAAGCAGGAACAAAAUUAGUUGGGAGUAAGAAAAAUGGAGAUUGCCUGUGAUGCCAAAUGAGAUGGUUGUUCAUUCUUAAAAGGUUACAUUCAUGUGUGGGUAUCCUGCUGAGUAAAACUUCACAUCUUCCUUUCCAGCUGAAAUUUCUUGCAGGCACACACAUGCACAUAUGAAUAAGGCUUCUUGGCACUCCCUGGCAUGUCACACCACCAGCUUAGCCUGAUAACAGCAAUGGAAUCCUUACACAGCCGAAGGCAAUGAGAGAAGGGCUUUUUUUCUACAAGUGAGGAGCAGAAUUCUUGCUCCUGUUGGAGCUCUGUAUGAACGAAGACUCUGUAGGUUCUUUGUGGCUGGGGAAGAGGAAGGGGGAAGAAGGGUUGUUGGUUGGAUUGUAAAUGCUGCAGUCCCAUAUAGUCUGUACUGAUGCAUUUAAAAUUAUCUGUGUAAGCAUCUUGGAUGUAACAAUUCUUUCUUCACUUGGAGAGUUACAGGGAGUAAAUAUCUGCAUCUGGAAGCUACCAUCAACCAACUCCCGCCUCCUCCAAAAGGAAACAUAGCCCCUGGAUCUGGCCUGUUAUGACUUAAGGAAGAGACACCAGUGGGACUGUCUAAGGCUCAUCUGUAAGUCUGAAUUAGUGGUUUGUCAUUGAGUUGGAUCCACCUUUUUGCAGACAGUCGGUAGCACAUUACAACUCCAUGCUGGAAUCAAGGUAUUACAACUCCAUGCUGGAAUCAAGGUAUUUUUAGCAGGAACUCCCCAUCAUAAGGAGAGCCAUUCAGUGGGAGGAAAAUUUGGCUCCUUCUCUGGCUGUAUUUAAAUGAGCCUUAAAAACCUGACUCUUUCAGUCUGCCUUUGACAAUCAACGUUAGUCCACAUUUUUUAAGCUGUAGUUUCAGUGCUGUUGCUAUUUUUAUUUUUAUGUUGAACUGAAAUUAAAAGUGUGUGCUGUUCUAGUUCAUUGCCUUUAUAUCUGUACUAUGCUUUUACUUUGUAAGUGCCCUCAAAGGCUUUACUAAAAACAUUUUAAAUAAAAAUAUGAUUUCCCAAA